CUACAGAUGAAAAGGAGGUUUUCAGAGUAAGCAACCUUUAACCUGGAAACAAAUAUAAUUCUCCUUCCUGUGAUAUCUCCAAUGACUAAUGUUGGCUGCUGCUUGCAGAAAUCCUCAUCAUGGCUGAGAAACUUCUCAGAAAACACAGCAGUCAUGGAUGGCCUUGAGGAAGGAUGUGACAUGUUCUGCAAGACGUGAAAUCUGCUCGACUGGMAGCCUCUAUGACCCUGAGACCAUGUCAGGGAAAGAUCUGCUGGCAGAGCGCGAGGCACAUAYGGGUCAUCAGUGUUAGAGGCAUCUUUGGCAUCACCUGUGCUGACCUUAACAACGUGGAGAAGGUGGCUUAGCCGCUGUCAGCGUGAUCAGCAACGCCGUGUGUGCCGCACGUUGGGAUGCGACGCUUCC